AGAGUUUGAUCCUGGCUCAGAUUGAACGCUGGCGGCAGGCCUAACACAUGCAAGUCGAGCGGCAGCAGCUCCUUCGGGAGGCUGGCGAGCGGCGGACGGGUGAGUAACGCAUGGGAACUUACCCAGUAGUGGGGGAUAGCCCGGGGAAACCCGGAUUAAUACCGCAUACGCCCUGAGGGGGAAAGCGGGCUCCGGCUCGCGCUAUUGGAUGGGCCCAUGUCGGAUUAGUUAGUUGGUGGGGUAACGGCCUACCAAGGCGACGAUCCGUAGCUGGUCUGAGAGGAUGAUCAGCCACACCGGGACUGAGACACGGCCCGGACUCCUACGGGAGGCAGCAGUGGGGAAUAUUGGACAAUGGGGGCAACCCUGAUCCAGCCAUGCCGCGUGUGUGAAGAAGGCCUUAGGGUUGUAAAGCACUUUCAGCAGGGAGGAAAAGCUGUCGGUUAAUACCCGCCAGUGUUGACGUUACCUGCAGAAGAAGCACCGGCUAACUCCGUGCCAGCAGCCGCGGUAAUACGGAGGGUGCAAGCGUUAAUCGGAAUUACUGGGCGUAAAGGGCGCGUAGGCGGUUUGGUAAGCGAGUUGUGAAAGCCCCGGGCUCACCUGGGAUGGCAAUUCGAGCUGCCAAGCUAGAGUGCAGCAGAGGGCAGUGGAAUUCCCGGUGUAGCGGUGAAUGCGUAGAUAUCGGGAGGACACAGUGCGAUGCGACUGCUGGGCUGACACUGACGCUGAGUGCGAAGCGUGGUAGCAACAGGAUAGAUACCUGUAGUCACCUGU
rnacentral:rRNA from 1 species